rnacentral:ribozyme from 1 species
UGUCCAGCAACUACUAUCCCUACCUCCGCGUGGCACCGGCCGGGCUGCGAGCAACCUUAGGGAAGAUCGAGUAACCAACUUCGGUGGUUGUAGGCUGACAGUGAAGG